AUUUGAACAUUUUAAUUUUAAUUAAUUUUUAUAAGUAUUGAUUUCAGAUACAUGUAUGACAUUGCAUGCUUGAUCGGGGAGGGGGGCUACAGUUAGAUAAUAUUCUGGUCAGCAUAUUCGAUAAACUACAGUUGUACAUGGAACUCAUUAAAUCACUUCUUUUUCUUUCAGUGGUCUUCAACUUUUAAUCUCCAAGAAGGAAAUGUAAUUAAAAGAUGAAUAAAGUAUCCCUAAGAAUACCAGAAGAAAGGCUGUGUUGAGAAAAACAGCCCUUCCUCGGUACCUCAGAACUAGAUGAUAGCCCGUGUUACUUUAUGCUGAAUAUGACACAGUAUAGAAGAUCUGAUCAUGAAGAAGUUACACCAUUGAUACACUUGCCAACUGCCAAAACUACUUUCUGAUAGUAUGACGAGAUUAGAAGAUAUCAUGGUGUAGUCAUGACACAAACUGCAAAUCAAAGAUUGUCUUCCCCAGAGGAUGAACAGAGUGCUUCACAUGGAUAACAUUUCCUUUUCGAGUUUUGAAAUUAGUAAGUAUACAAAAUAUUUUAGGCCACAUAGUCAUAAAAUUAUUUUUUAGAUUUCCAUCCUUGCUUGGAAAAAAAUGGGGCAGGUGGUGUAUUUUUUUAUUUUUCAGAAUAUAUAUUUCCCGUUCAUUAUACUCGCAUGUUCCUGUAGAGUGUAGAUUACUUCAUAUUUUUUUUUACAUUGUUUUCUUUGGACAGAAAAUUUUCAUACAACAAUAUUAUAAUUGUUUUUAAGUGAUUUUGAAGUACAUUUUCAUGUAACACUGAAGUUGAACAUUCUUUUGCGCUUUUUUGAAUAAUAGUAAUUUUUAGCUCACCUGAGCUGAAAGUUUAAAUGAGCUUUUCCAAUCCCCUGUUGUCCGUCUGUCUGUAAACUUUCACAUUUCUGACUUCUUCUCAAGAACCACUGGGCCAAUUUCAACCAAACUUGACAAAAAGCAUCCUUUGUGAAGGGCUUUCAAGUUAGUUCAAAUAAAGGGCCACACCCCCUUUCAAAGGGAAGAUAUAAUUACAAAAUUGCAAAAAUAGGGUUGGGUCAUUUAAAAAUUUUCUCCUAAAGAACCACUGGGCCAGAAGAGCUGACAUUUACAUGAAAACUUCCUGACAUAGUGUAGAUUGAAGUUUGUUCAAAUCAUGACCCCCAUAGGUAGGAUGGGGCCACAAUAGGGGAUCAAAUAUUUUACAUACAAAUAUAAAGGGAAAAUCUUUAAAAAUCAUCUUCUCAAGAAACACUGGGCUAGGAAAGUACAAAUUUACAUAAAAACUUCCUGACAUAGUGCAGAUUCAGGUUUGUUAAAAUCAUGACCCCCUGGGGUAGAAUGAGGCCAUACAAAUCUUCUUCUCAAGAACCAUUAGGCCAGAGCAGUUUACAUAAUUUACAUGAAAGCUUCCUGACAUACAGCUCUGUAGUGCAGAUUCAAGUUUGUAAAAAUAAAAUUUCGAAAAGGUGUCGCUGUGUUUGGUGUAAUUUUUGUUCGUUCUGCACAAACUAGCUCAUUCAGCUUGACACAGCCUAGGUGUUCAUAUGUAAUUUUUUUAUUUUUCGUAACUUAAAAUGUCGUGUAGCAAUAUUGGCCAGAUCAAAUUUUCCUUCCAAUGUUAUAAUAGGACUAGACAUGUGUAUCAUUUUGCAUACAAUUUAAAGUAUGUUUUUGCAUAUACACAUUUUUCUAAUGCCUGUACACAUUGAAUUAUUAAACACCAGGCACGUCCUCCUAUCCCCUUUACAAGCUAUGUUUGUGUGGGGUUUUUUGGAGUUAGAUUUUAGGUAGGAGAAAUCAUGGCCCCGUGAGUAGGUUGGGCCACAAUACUUAAAUAGGGAUCAAAGUUUUAGAAGCGAAUAUGUAGAACAAAUCUUUAAAUAUGGGCCAAGGUGAAUCAGGUGAGCGAUGUGGCCCAUGGGCCUCUUGUUUGAAUAUGCAGUUUAUGCAGGAUCAGGAUAUGCCAUUGCCGUAUCCGUUAAUUAAUGAGUCAUAAUUACCAUCAUUGUACCACAAAGCAACAGUCACUGUACUGUAGUUCUUUUGCUUAACAUUAUUCAAUUCAGUUUGCCAUCAUCUUCUUCUAGUCUAAGACACGCACACUCAAUAAUAAAAGUUCCAAACACAGAAUUGGGAAAUGGCAUGGUAUCGCAUACUUUCACAUUCAAUAGCAUCUCCAUUAAUCAAUUUUAACAAGGCAUACAUGUGCAGUCACUUGACCAAAUGCAUAUCACACUGCAACAGUCCUUCACAACUACCACAUCUUUGGGUACCCUUAUAAUAGAAACAUGUCAAAUAUAACCACAACAUGCCAAAAUGUUAGGGUCAGUCAUUGAAAUGCUCUAAAUGUUUGAUAUACAAGCCAAAUAUUUGUUCUCAACUUCUUUUUAAAAAAAAAAGGUAGAAUAAAAAACAAUGGGGUGGAUAAUUUUGAGAGGGGUGGGCGUGGAUGAUAAUCUGUAAAUAUGAAAUUCUAUGUGGCCUUAAGUACAGUAAAUAUGAAAGCAGAUCUUAGUAUUUAACAAUUUUGUUGAUCCAUAAUUUAUUUACAGAUUUUAUAUGAUCUUAUUUUGUAUAAUUAAAAUCUUAGAUGAUAUGUGUAGAAUAAUUAUAUCAUUUAGCAAAAUGUAAUGAUUUGUAAACUAAAGAUGCAUAUACAUGUAGUAAAUUGUGUAACAAUUAAUACAUUCAACCCAAAAAUGAAUUUGCAUAUUUUAAUUGAUUUUUAGCUCACCUGAACCAAAGGUUCAAGUGAGCUUUUCUGAUCACAUUUUGUCUGUCGUCUGUAUGUCUGUCCGUCUGUAAACUUUUCACAUUUUCGACUUCUUCUCCAGAACCACUGGGCCAAUUUCAACCAAACUUGGCCAAAAGCAUCCUUGGGUGAAGGGCUUUCAAGUUUGUUCAAAUGAAGGGCCAUGUCCCUUUCAAAGGAGAGAUAAUCACAAAAAUAGGGUGGGGUCAUUUAAAAAUCUUCUUCUCAAGAACCACUGGGCCAGAAGAGCUGAAAUUUACCUGAAAGCUUCCUGACAUAUUGCAGAUUCAAGUUUGUUCAAAUCAUGGCCCCCGGGGGUAGGAUGGGGCCACAAGGGGGGAUCAAAGUUUUACAUACAAAUAUAUAGGGGAAAACUUUAAAAAUCUUCUUCUCAAGAACCACUAAGCCAGAAAAGCUGAGGCCAAAAAUAAACAUUGAUUUGUUUGAUGUACUCCGACCGACCAAUCAAAUUUGCUCCUACCCGACCAUUUUUUCCAGCAAUUUAAAACUUUGGGGGGGGGUCCCUUGAAAAAUAGAAAAUUCUCCUUAUUCUAAAAGAAAAUAUUACAAAUUUUCAUGACGUUAAAAAAAAACCAAAAAAAAAAAAACCCUACCUACCGACCCACCUUGAAAAAUGUGAGUUAGAGUACAUCAAACAAAAAUAUUUUUAAUGAUGGCCUGAGAUUUACAUGAAAGCUUCCUGACAUAAUGCAGAUUCAAGUUUGUUCAAAUCAUGUGCCCCGGGGGUUGGAUGGGGCCACUAGGUGGGAUCAAAGUUUUACAUACAAAUAUAUAGGGAAAAACUUUAAAAAUCUUCUUCUCAAGAACCACUAAGCCAGAAAAGCUGAGGCCAAAAAUAAACAUUGAUUUAUUUGAUGUACUCCGACCGACCAAUCAAAUUUGCUCCUACCCGACCAUUUUUUUCAGCAAUUUAAAACUUUGGGGGGGGGGGUCCCUUGAAAAAUAGAAAAUUCUCCUUAUUCUAAAAGAAAAUAUUACAAAUUUUCAUGACGUAAAAAAAAAAAAAAAAACAAAAAAAAACCUACCUACCGACCCACCUUGAAAAAUGUGAGUUAGAGUACAUCAAACAAAAAUAUUUUUAAUGAUGGCCUGAUCGAGAUUUACAUGAAAGCUUCCUGACAUAAUGCAGAUUCAAGUUUGUUCAAAUCAUGGGCCCCGGGGGUUGGAUGGGGCCACAAUAGGGGAUCAAAGUUUUACAUACAAAUAUAUAUGAAAAAUCUUUAAACAUCUUCUUCUCAAGAACCACUGAGCCAGAAAAACUGAUUUUUACAUGAAAACUUUCUGACAUAGUGCAGAUUCAAGUUUGUUCGAAUUAUGGCCCCCGGGGUAGGAUGGGGCCACAAUUGGGGGGGACCCCAUCAGUAAGCACGCCCCCUACUUCCGGUGUAAUGGCAGUAACUGCAAAAAUGAAGGCCAUUGUGUACAAUACUUCAUUAUCAUUUAAUGUUGUUCACGUUCUUCUGACCCAGGGAUCGAAUAUUUUCCAACAAUUUACAGUGGAUCAAAGAGAAUUGUUUUAUAGUUUUUUUCUUCUUUAUGCAUAUAUGACCCAGUAUGUCUCUGCAGAGCACAGAUCUACAUCUGGCAUUUUCUAAUUACUUAAUGUUCACUAUUUUUAGCGAUCAAUUAAGUUUUUUUAAAAUUAGUUUUUCAGUCAAAAUUAUCAUAAAUAUAAAUCUAUAGCUAACCAGGGGUAUGAUGCAUGUGACCCAAAUUUGUCAUUAUGCAGGGGCCUAUAUCUAUUCUACGAAGUAUAUUUGAUGCGCAUUAAAGUUUGAAAAUUUUAAUUCAAAAUAUGCAUUAAAACCGCUGUUUGAACAAGGCAUAAGUAUCAUUUUAAAGUUACAUAUGUACGUAAGUAUAUUUGCUAGAUAUGAUGUUCAAAAAGAUUAAUCAGUUUUUUUUAAUUACUGAUUAGAUCACCUGAGUGGGUAUAAGGAUUGAUAAACUAAGAUUUUGAAUUUUUAAAAAAGCUAACAGACAGAUGAAAGAGCUUGAUAAAUACCAUAAUACAGUCCAUCAUAACAUGGGUGCAUGAAAAUCAGGUUCUAGAGCAGAUAUUAAUAUAUUAGGUAGAACAUUGAUGAUACGUCUUAUCUGGUAUAUGUAAGUUGUAACACCCUCUUCAUUAAUACUGUGCAUUUUGACAAAAUAGUAUAUGAAGUCCAGUGGUUCCAUUGAAUUUGAACAUAUGUUGAAUAAAUAUAUAGUUAGUAGUGGUAGGGAACAGGUAUUGCUUGAAUGUGUCUACUAGAUUUCUUGUUAAAUAACCUUCACUUUAAUUUCAGUCAAACAUAAUUUUGCAUCAAAGAGAAAAAGUGGCUUUGACAUAACCUAGAAAAUACAAUAUUCAUUAAAUAGAGCAUGGCACCAGGAUAGCUAGAUGCCCAUAUUCCCAGCAAAAUGAGCCAGUCCUAAAGAGAGUCCACUAGAGAUGAAAUAAAACUCAUUAAAAUGUAUUGAGAAAAGAUUUGUCAGAAUGUUAUGCAUCAUGAUCAACAGAAAAAAACUUCACAGGUAGACCAAAGCUGACAUGGGAUGAGAUCCUAAAACGAGACCUAGAGUUUAGAGGAUUGGAUAGGAUCAAUCCACUGGGUCGCCAAGUGUGGAAGUACAAACUUCAACCUCGACAGGACAGCCAGACCUCACCCUUGCAAAAAUAUUAAUUUGGCCUGGAUAGUCAAAAUGAGUGAUGAUGAUGAUAUCAAGGUCUGACACUGUAAGCUCAGUAAGGGUAGAUGCUGGCAAUGGAGCUGUUAAGCAAUACAACAAACAGGUUUAACAUUGAACAUGUUUAUAUACUUUUUUAGCUCAAAUGAGCUUUUCUGAUCACCUUUGCCUGUCGUCUGUCUCUCUGUAAACUUUUCACAUUUUCAUUUUCUUCUCCAGAGUGAACCACUGGGCCAGUUUCAAUCAAACUUGGUAUGCAUCAUCAAUAGAUAAAGGGUAUGCAAAAAUAGGGUGGGGUCAUUUAAAAAAACCUUUUCAAGAACCACUGGACCAGGAAAGUUGAAUUCACAUAAAAGGUUCCUGUUUUGUGCAAAUCAUGGUAUCCGGGGGUAGGGUGAGGUCACAAUCGAGGAUCAAAGUUUUACAUUCAUAUAUAGUACAGAUUCAAGUUUGUUAAAGGUCAUGGCUCACAGGGGUAGAGUGGGGUCACAAUAGGGGAUCUAAGUUUUAUAUGUGAAAUAUAUACAAGGAAAAUCUUUUAAAAUCUUCUCCUAAAAAACUAGAUGCAGAACUAAACCCAAAAUCGUAGCUCUUUGAGAAGAUAUUGGGGCAAGUCAGAGCACUAGAGCUUCAGAUGAACCCCUUAUUAAAAAUCUUCAAUUUACGGCACAGAAAAAAAGUGCAUGGUUAAGUUCCUCUAUCACUGCAUUCCUGCAUCGCUGUCUCAUGAAUUUAAUAUUAAAUAAUUCCUAACAUAUUUUCCCACUAUACUUGUUUCCAAGCAUACUUUCAAAUAUUCCUUAAACCCACAUAUAACCUAAAAACUCACAGCUUCAAGUGAUUUUCUUUGUUGAUAUAGCCAUGUUAGGAAUACGUAGCCAGUCAAUUUGAACCCCAGUUCAUUUCCAUACUCGUACUCAUUUUGAAACAUAAUGUCUGUGUGAACUAAUAUCCCCACAAAUAUUUUUAGUGAAAUAUUUUGGAUGAAAUCAUCCCAGUUGGGUUAAAUACUUAUUAUUCAAAAACUGUAGGUUUGAAUAUUGAACUAAUCUCACAGCUUUCUUCAGUUUGGUCCCCAUCCACUCUAGUCUGUUUUUACGCUUAACUAUUGAAAUGGAGUGUAAGGGAUCAGACUAGGCUUUAAUAGCAUUAUCAAUUUUCAAAAGCUUUAGAAAAAUUAUACAAUUUUAGGUCACUUGAGUAAACUCAGAUGACAUAUUGCUAUUGGUCUGCGUCCGUUGUAGUCCGUCGAUGUUAACAAUUGAAUAUUUUUAACUAAAUUCUAUAACUGAAAGGUGAAGAUAACGAACAGCGAUCAAUCUACGAUUCGAAUAACAGAAUUCUUUUCAAAUUUAGUAUGAAGCACACAAAUUUACAUUAAACCUUCCUGACAUAGUGCAUAUUCAAGUUUGUUAAAAUCAUUUCCCGGGAGGUAUGGUGUGGUAACAAUAGGGGAUCAAAGUUUUAUAUGCUGAUAUAUUUAAAGGAAAAAUCGUUAAAGAUAUCUCUUGAACUAUUUAAGCUAGAGCUUUCAUAUCUUGUAUAUACAAUUUUUAUGGCAAAACAAAU